AAUAAGGCACUAGUUUAGCUAGCAAAACAUUGCUUUGUCAAGGCAAAGUCGUGGGUUAAACUCCCACGUGCCUUAC
rnacentral:tRNA from 1 species